UGUAGGGGCCGAUUUCAUCUGUCAGCACCACAGAAGCUCCGACUUAACAGCCCUCAUCACGCUGGUUUUCUUUGUAUUGCUAACGGUCACACUCAGUGCAAGACAUCUCGGCUACGACCCACGCGCACUCCUGUCCGGUGGUUCUGGUGGUUUUCGACAGCAAUGUUUGGGCGAGCAAGAUCAACGAAAA
rnacentral:lncRNA from 1 species